rnacentral:rRNA from 1 species
AUUGAACGCUGGCGGCAUGCUUUACACAUGCAAGUCGAACGGUAACAGGCCGCAAGGUGCUGACGAGUGGCGCACGGGUGAGUAAUGCAUCGGAACGUGCCCAGUCGUGGGGGAUAACUACCCGAAAGAGUAGCUAAUACCGCAUACGAUCUAUGGAUGAAAGCGGGGGACCGUAAGGCCUCGCGCGAUUGGAGCGGCCGAUGUCGGAUUAGGUAGUUGGUGGGGUAAAGGCUCACCAAGCCAACGAUCUGUAGCUGGUCUGAGAGGACGACCAGCCACACUGGGACUGAGACACGGCCCAGACUCCUACGGGAGGCAGCAGUGGGGAAUUUUGGACAAUGGGCGCAAGCCUGAUCCAGCAAUGCCGCGUGCAGGAAGAAGGCCUUCGGGUUGUAAACUGCUUUUGUACGGAACGAAACGGCUCUGGUUAAUACCCGGGGCUAAUGACGGUACCGGAAGAAUAAGCACCGGCUAACUACGUG